UGGGGAAUAUUGGACAAUGGGGGCAACCCUGAUCCAGCGAUGCCGCGUGGGUGAAGAAGGCCUUCGGGUUGUAAAGCCCUUUAGGUUGGGAAGAAGAGUGGUAGAGGAAAUGCUACUACUUUGACGGUACCGACAGAAUAAGCACCGGCAAACUCUGUGCCAGCAGCCGCGGUAAUACAGAGGGUGCGAGCGUUAAUCGAAAUUACUGGGCGUAAAGGGCGCGUAGGCGGUUUAAUGUGUGGGAUGUGAAAGCCCUGGGCUUAACCUAGGAAGUGCAUACCAAACUAUUAGACUGGAGUAGAGGAGAGGGCGGCGGAAUUUCCGGUGUAGCGGUGAAAUGCGUAGAUAUCGGAAGGAACGUCAAUGGCGAAGGCAGCCGCCUGGCCUCAUACUGACGCUGAGGCGCGAAAGCGUGGGGAGCGAACA
rnacentral:rRNA from 1 species